CCUACGGGUGGCAGCAGUGAGGAAUAUUGGUCAAUGGGCGGGAGCCUGAACCAGCCAAGUCGCGUGAGGGAAGAAGGUACUGAGUAUUGUAAACCUCUUUUGCCAGGGGACAAAGGCGGCCACGGGUGGCCGUAAGAGGGUACCUGGAGAAAAAGCAUCGGCUAACUCCGUGCCAGCAGCCGCGGUAAUACGGAGGAUGCGAGCGUUAUCCGGAUUUAUUGGGUUUAAAGGGUGCGUAGGCGGGCUUUUAAGUCAGCGGUAAAAAUUCGGGGCUCAACCCCGUCCGGCCGUUGAAACUGGGGGCCUUGAGUGGGCGAGAAGAAGGCGGAAUGCGUGGUGUAGCGGUGAAAUGCAUAGAUAUCACGCAGAACCCCGAUUGCGAAGGCAGCCUUCCGGCGCCCUACUGACGCUGAGGCACGAAAGUGCGGGGAUCGAACAGGAUUAGAUACCCCUGUAGUC
rnacentral:rRNA from 1 species